GCCAAGCAAACACAGGGACACAGAGAGAUCCAGCACCUGGCUAUGGUGACCAUCCCAACUCAACUAAGUUCUGUGAAUAUCCAGAAACAAGAUGAAACAAAACAAAGAGCCCUGUUGGGUCCACUGUGUUCAGAAACCUGCUUUCAUCAGUGACCAUUCUGAGAUCUAUAAAGGAGAUUUCUAAAGGCUGUGUCUACAUCAAGCGGUCUGGACCAGAAUCAUCAGAAUAUCAGCACAGUAGAAGACCUAAGCCCGCACUCCUUUGGACAUGAACAAAUACUGAAUGACAGUCUUCAACAAUUUCAAGGCACUAGGACAAUGGUCAACAACCCGGCACCCACUAGGGUUAUGGCACCCAUGAAGGUUGUUAUUAGACACCAACAGUGUGUAUGUGCUUGAUCUCCAUAAACAGGAGCAGCAGGACAUAGUUGACUUCCCAUGGCAAGUGCAAGGUUGCUGGGGGUGGUUGUCUCUCUAAUUCUGUGUUAUGCCAUACUCCCUGUGGCAGCCAAUUUAUGUUACACCACACCUGCUUCAUGGCAGUCAUUUUGUGACUGGUGCCCCCAGCACCCUCUCAACAUUCAAACUGUGCCCACUAGUCCAAAAUGGUUGGUAACCUUUGUGCUAGGGAGCCAGUGUUCUAAUAUGGAGGUGUGCAGCAGAAUGUAUACUUACAUAUGGGUAUACAUGUAUCUGCAACAGAGGAUAAAAUGUAAUGCACCUAAUGAAGUAAAAUACAGUCCAUGCAAGCUUGUUCCACAAUAAAUUUGUUAGUCUUUAUGACUUUUUUUGUUGCAUUUGCUCCAAUAUGUCUACUCCUCUGGAAAUUAGCCCACCUUCCUUCCAGCAUGGAAACCUGGACAGCAUAUAUGAAAUUCUAGCUAGCCAGCCAGCCACUGACCAAACCCAGACUUGCUUAGUAUGAGCAACUUGGUGGCAUCAUGCCCUUAUUCUGGUAUGACCAUAACCAAGCUAGGAUCUAGAACGCUACCUUUGGUGUGCCCAAGGGCUUGUAACUAGCCAAUGGCAGUUGUCACUACAGUGGUACCUCUGGAUGCGAACGGGAUCCGUUCCAGAGCCCCAUUCGCAUCCAGAGCA